AUUUGUAAAUAAAGUCCACUAACUGAAAAACUGAAACAGCCCAGGCGAGACGCGAGAGUUUAUCUAGCUGUCUGGUUCCCUUUGCCCAAUCUCUCUCCUCCGUCCCUCCGCCGGUUCGCCCCCUUCGCCCUUCCCGACGCGCCGCCCGAAACCCUAGCUCCACCGAUCUAUCUCUCUCCAGCCCAGGCAGGGGGAGGAGAUGGCGGCGGCGCCAGCGGCGGGAGGGCAGGGAGGCGGGGGUAUGGACGCCGCGCUCCUCGACGACAUCAUACGCCGCCUGCUCGAGGUGCGGACCGCGCGCCCCGGGAAGCAGGUGCAGCUCUCCGAGUCGGAGAUCCGCCAGCUCUGCACCGUCUCCCGCGAGAUCUUCCUCAACCAACCCAACCUUCUCGAGCUCGAGGCGCCCAUCAAGAUCUGCGGUGACAUCCAUGGUCAAUACAGUGAUCUUCUAAGGCUUUUUGAAUAUGGAGGCUUUCCUCCUGAAGCCAAUUAUCUAUUCUUAGGUGAUUAUGUUGAUCGAGGCAAACAAAGUUUGGAGACUAUAUGCCUUCUUCUUGCUUACAAAAUCAAGUACCCUGAGAACUUUUUUCUUCUGAGGGGCAAUCAUGAAUGCGCCUCAAUAAACAGAAUAUAUGGAUUCUAUGAUGAAUGCAAGCGUCGAUUUAAUGUGCGGCUAUGGAAGGUCUUCACAGAAUGUUUUAACACUCUACCUGUGGCUGCUCUUAUCGAUGAUAAAAUAUUAUGUAUGCACGGUGGACUCUCUCCUGAUCUAGCACACUUGGAUGAGAUAAAGAACUUGCAGCGUCCAACUGAUGUACCAGAUCAAGGUCUACUGUGUGACUUGCUUUGGUCAGAUCCAGGAAAAGAUGCUCAAGGGUGGGGCAUGAAUGAUAGAGGGGUCUCAUAUACCUUUGGUGCUGACAAGGUUUCAGAAUUCUUGCAAAAGCAUGAUCUUGAUCUUAUCUGUCGUGCUCACCAGGUUGUCGAGGAUGGGUAUGAAUUUUUUGCUGACAGACAGCUUGUCACCAUAUUCUCGGCCCCCAAUUAUUGUGGUGAAUUUGAUAAUGCUGGUGCAAUGAUGAGUGUCGAUGAAACUUUGAUGUGCUCAUUCCAAAUUCUGAAACCUGCUGAGAGAAAAAACAAAUUUAUGGGGUCCAACAAAAUGUGAUAGUGAAAGCCAUUUUGCUUCCAGCAGCUCUAGCCUGUUAAGUACGGACCGACAUUAUUGAAAGCAACUAUUACGAAUCAAGACUACUAGAAACUAGCACUCCAACAUUACCAGAAGUUCACAAUUCCGCAAAAACUUACUUGGAACAGCAUUCACGGGGCAAGUUUAGUUACCUUCGAGGCUUCGACCUUUCACCUUGAAUCCCAAAGACCACCAUAGUUUACUGAUUACAACUCCUUCGUACCAAAACAACAAACAAGAUAUGUCAACGCUUGGGGAAGGACAUACCUUCACAGAUGCCAAUACAUUCAAUGAUCUUGGUAUAGGAAGGUAUUGUAGGGUCCACUAUGUUGGGAUCAUCGUUCCUGGGGCCUAAUGGCCUGAGGACCUCGCUUGGCCUCGGUCAAGGGAAGAAGCUUGAUGCCAGGAGACUUGUUAGUGGGGCAUCCCAAACACAUAACUAGGGCUGGAAACAAGCCGGGUGACUAGCUUUGACAGUUCAAGGAUGCGGCUCUGUGGGUGACCGAGCUCGACUCGCUCACUGCACGAGUUCAAGGAUGAGGCUCGGCUCGAAGUUGGCUCGCGAGUCACACCUUGGUUCUCCUGUGGAUGCAUCGAGACAACAGCAUGCUGGCGCCAAGUUUGAGGGCAGCAUUGGGCUACUAUCAGAGAAACCAAAUAAUCCCAUACCUAACUGUUCAUCUGGAAGUUACUCAUCAUGACAAGUGCCUGAAAUUUUUCCUCUUUCCUGUUACCUUGUGUCAGAACAUUAUGUAGCUGUAGAUAUAUUGAUUAUGGAAGGAUGAAGUUGCCAAAUUGACCUGAGGAGAUUCCUUUCUCCAGCCAGGAAAAAUUCUGAACAUCAAGGAGUUUCUGUUUGCAAGUUUCACUAUUUAAAAGCAGUUAUGUUGCUUGUGCGGAGGUAAGUACUGGACCGAGGUACUAUUAUCAGUUUCAUGGAUAUGGACUGUUGUGAUAGUUUCGAUAGAGGUGUCAAACAUCAAUUAGGGUGAAGUGGUGAGCAACAUUUCAAGGAGGUGCUGAUGCUUGCUGACAACCUAUGAAAAGGCGUUUCUGUAGCUGACUACUUGGUUUGUCCGUCAGACAAUUCUAGACGUGAAUUUUGAUCUGUUGGCUAGAUUAGCUGCCAAGUAGGUAUUUCGUAUCUCUAGAUUUAUGGGAUUCACAUUCACUCAUUCUUGUUGCUAUUCACUUGCCUUUGUUAUGUUGCUACAUGGGUGCCAAACGCGGUCUGCAAAGCAGUCGUUUCGGUUUGUUUGGUAA